CAUUGUUCAGAGCCAGAAGGCGGGAUCGACUUGAAGGCAGCCCACUUUUCCUGCUGAGGAGCCCUCGGCCUUCCUGCCUCCUCCUUCGCCCUGGGGCUCGUGUGGUUGGUCUCUCUCUGUCUCUCACUCCACCUGCACCCCCACACUCUCUCUAUUCAGAGAUCGGGGGAGGAAAUCAGCGGGGCUUGCUUCUGAGAAAUGUAAUUCUGUGGUAUGAACCCACGCUAGAAAUUGUGACCACAAUUCUGAACAAAGACCAGGAACCCUUGGGUGAGGUCUCCAGCCAUUACUUCCACCUACUCAGACAUCUACUGUUGGAAACCUGCAAAUUUAGAAGGAGCGCAGAUAAGGAAAACCAGCACUGAUAUGGAAAUAGACUGUCCUGUCUGAAACACCUGCAAGGUCACUAAACUGACACACUUCACCCCGAGUUGUGAUCUCAUGCAGCCACCUGUCAGAUAACAGCUGAGUUAUGACACAGGGUAUAGCCUUGGACACUCCUAUAAAAGGAGGAGUUCAGUAAGAGAUCAGGAGCAUUAAGCUCACUGUCAGACUGGUCCAACAUACUGCUAUGCUUGCUGCUGCCAAUAAACCAGAACUUUGGAGUUUGUCGAAGAGAACUACUGCUGUUGAAGUCUGCCAACAUGCUGAGGGUGACAGAUGUUCAUUUAUUUUCUGCAUAAGAUAUAUUGCCAUGUAACUAGUUUGAUUUUGACUUAUUGGCAAAAGCCAACUAUUGCACUCAUGUAAAAAAUUUAAGAAGCGUUAAAAUACGUUAGAAAUAAAUAUU